rnacentral:rRNA from 1 species
AUUGAACGCUGGCGGCAUGCCUUACACAUGCAAGUCGAACGGCAGCACAGGAGCAAUCCUGGUGGCGAGUGGCGAACGGGUGAGUAAUACAUCGGAACGUGCCCAGUAGUGGGGGAUAGCCCGGCGAAAGCCGGAUUAAUACCGCAUGAGACCUGAGGGUGAAAGCGGGGGAUCGCAAGACCUCGCGCUAUUGGAGCGGCCGAUGUCAGAUUAGCUAGUUGGUAGGGUAAAGGCCUACCAAGGCAACGAUCUGUAGUUGGUCUGAGAGGACGACCAGCCACACUGGGACUGAGACACGGCCCAGACUCCUACGGGAGGCAGCAGUGGGGAAUUUUGGACAAUGGGCGCAAGCCUGAUCCAGCAAUGCCGCGUGCAGGAAGAAGGCCUUCGGGUUGUAAACUGCUUUUGUCAGGGAAGAAAUCUUCUGGGUUAAUACCUCGGGAGGAUGACGGUACCUGAAGAAUAAGCACCGGCUAACUACGUGCCGGCCGCCGCAGUAACAC